AUUGAACGCUGGCGGCAGGCCUAACACAUGCAAGUCGAGCGGAUGAAGGGAGCUUGCUCCUGGAUUCAGCGGCGGACGGGUGAGUAAUGCCUAGGAAUCUGCCUGGUAGUGGGGGAUAACGUCCGGAAACGGGCGCUAAUACCGCAUACGUCCUGAGGGAGAAAGUGGGGGAUCUUCGGACCUCACGCUAUCAGAUGAGCCUAGGUCGGAUUAGCUAGUUGGUGGGGUAAAGGCCUACCAAGGCGACGAUCCGUAACUGGUCUGAGAGGAUGAUCAGUCACACUGGAACUGAGAGACGGUCCAGACUCCUACGGGAGGCAGCAGUGGGGAAUAUUGGACCAUGGGCGAAAGCCUGAUCCAGCCCUGCCGCGUGUGUGAAGAAGGUCUUCGGAUUGUAAAGCACUUUAAGUUGGGAGGAAGGGAAGUAAGUUAAUACCUUGCUGUUUUGACGUUACCCACAGAACAAGCACCGGCUAACUUCGUG
rnacentral:rRNA from 1 species